CCUACGGGAGGCAGCAGUGAGGAAUAUUGGGCAAUGGGGGCACCCCUGACCCAGCCAUGCCGCGUGAGUGAAGAAGGUCUUCGGAUUGUAAAGCUCUUUCGGACGUGACGAUGAUGACGGUAGCGUCUAAAGAAGCACAGGCGAACUUCGUGCCAGCAGCCGCGGUAAUACGAAGGGUGCGAGCGUUGUUCGGCAUUACUGGGCGAAAGGGUCGAGUAGGCGGAGAUGUAAGAGAGCGGUGAAAUGACGGGGGUCAACCCCGGAACUGCCAUUAUGACUAUGUAUCUAGAGUAAUGGAGAGGAUAGCGGAAUACCCAGUGUAGAGGUGAAAUUCGUAGAUAUUGGGUAGAACACCGGUGGCGAAGGCGGCUAUCUGGCCAUUUACUGACGCUGAGGCUCGAAAGCAUGGGGAUCAAACAGGAUUAGAUACCCGGGUAGUC
rnacentral:rRNA from 1 species